rnacentral:lncRNA from 1 species
ACCUUUCUUAUAAUAACAAACUACUUAAAAUUUCUCGUCAAUUGAUAAGAAAUUGGUCCAAAAUUUCUGAACUAAAUUUUCUGCCUAGUCAUGUUCGAAAUGGCUGAAGGUUGGCUGGACCAAGUCGCAAUUGAGAUUUAUGGACACUGUGUCUGUACGCUUUAGGUGACUUGGUUAUAUAUUUCUAACCGCUCGAACUUUUGACAUUAAUAGUUAGCGCCAAUAAUUCGACAAAAGGACUAUAAGUACUAGUAAUAAUAAUUGAGUUUAAGUACUUAGGGCUGGUGGUUUAGGCCUAACGAGUUAUUAUUAUUAUUAGUGGGUCGAAUCAUUACAAUUGGUAUCAAAACUGAAUACAAGUCAAAAGUAUGAGAGUUAAGUGCUAUGUGGAAAAAAAUGCUACGCCACGCGUUUUAUAAGAGCCGCCUCUAGAAUCCAGAAGUGUGAGAGGUAGGUGAUAUGUAAUGCAAGGUGCUACACCACGCGUUUGGUGGGAGACACCAGUUGAACCUGCAGAAUCCUUUAAAAUCUUACAUCGCCUGCUAAUUUCGGUCUAUAUGUUUGUAAUCAGGUUGAAUUUCACAUCGCCUGAUAGUUCUAGUUUAUAUAUCGAUGAUCGGAUUUGAAUCUGACGAGAAAAAGAAUUCUAAUUAGGAAUAUAAAAAAUCAUGGACACUAGUAAUAAUAACUAAACCUAAGUAUUUUGGACCGACCCAAAAAAUUAUUAUUUCUAGUGGGUCGAAUCGUUAAAGUAUAAGACACGUUUUGACCUAAGGAAAAUCGCUGUAUAUCG